rnacentral:rRNA from 1 species
GACGAACGCUGGCGGCGUGCCUAAUACAUGCAAGUCGAACGAACCGCGACUGAGUGCUUGCACUUGGUCAAGGUGAGUGGCGAACGGGUGAGUAACACGUGGGUAACCUACCUCAUAGUGGGGGAUAACAGUCGGAAACGACUGCUAAUACCGCAUAGGACAUGGAGUCACAUGAUUCUGUGAGGAAAGGUGGCGCAAGCUAUCGCUACGAGAUGGACCCGCGGUGCAUUAGCUAGUUGGUAGGGUAAGGGCCUACCAAGGCGAUGAUGCAUAGCCGACCUGAGAGGGUGAUCGGCCACAUUGGGACUGAGACACGGCCCAAACUCCUACGGGAGGCAGCAGUAGGGAAUCUUCCGCAAUGGACGCAAGUCUGACGGAGCAACGCCGCGUGAGUGAAGAAGGUCUUCGGAUCGUAAAGCUCUGUUGUUAGAGAAGAACAGCGCAUAGAGUAACUGUUAUGCGUGUGACGGUAUCUAACCAGAAAGCCACGGCUAACUACGUG